GUCUUCCAGACACAUUCAAUUGGGAGUGGGUAGCUUGCAGCUCUAAUCCAGUACCCAGAAUUACAGCACUGUACCUGAAUGGGCUUCAGCUUGAUGGACCCUUUCCAGAUAUUAGAGCCCUGGAUGCCCUUCAGACCAUAGACAUGCACAACAACAGCAUUAACGGAGAAAUACCCUAUUUUCUUGGAACACUUC